rnacentral:rRNA from 1 species
GAUGAACGCUGGCGGCGUGCCUAAUACAUGCAAGUCGAGCGAAUGGAUUAAGAGCUUGCUCUUAUGAAGUUAGCGGCGGACGGGUGAGUAACACGUGGGUAACCUGCCCAUAAGACUGGGAUAACUCCGGGAAACCGGGGCUAAUACCGGAUAACAUUUUGAACCGAAUGGUUCGAAAUUGAAAGGCGGCUUCGGCUGUCACUUAUGGAUGGACCCGCGUCGCAUUAGCUAGUUGGUUAGGUAACGGCUCACCAAGGCAACGAUGCGUAGCCGACCUGAGAGGGUGAUCGGCCACACUGGGACUGAGACACGGCCCAGACUCCUACGGGAGGCAGCAGUAGGGAAUCUUCCGCAAUGGACGAAAGUCUGACGGAGCAACGCCGCGUGAGUGAUGAAGGCUUUCGGGUCGUAAAACUUUGUUGUUAGGGAAGAACAAGUGCUAGUUGAAUAAGCUGACACCUUGACGGUACCUAACCAGAAAGCCACGGCUAACUACGUGCCAGCCGCCGCAGUAA